GAUAUGGCUCAGGAUGAACGCUAGCUACAGGCUUAACACAUGCAAGUCGAGGGGCAUCAGGGCGAUAGCUUGCUAUCGUGCUGGCGACCGGCGCACGGGUGAGUAACGCGUAUCCAACCUGGCCCCCAGUAGGGAAUAGCCCGGCGAAAGUCGGAUUAAUGCCCUAUGUUAUCCGAAGAGGACAUCUGAUUUGGAUUAAAGAUUCAUCGCUGGGGGAUGGGGAUGCGUCCGAUUAGGUAGUAGGCGGGGCAACGGCCCACCUAGCCGACGAUCGGUAGGGGUUCUGAGAGGAAGGUCCCCCACACUGGAACUGAGACACGGUCCAGACUCCUACGGGAGGCAGCAGUGAGGAAUAUUGGUCAAUGGGCGUAAGCCUGAACCAGCCAAGUAGCGUGCCAGGAGGACGGCCCUACGGGUUGUAAACUGCUUUUAUGCGGGGAUAAAGUGCGGCACGUGUGCCGUUUUGCAAGUACCGCAUGAAUAAGGACCGGCUAAUUCCGUGCCAGCCGCUGC
rnacentral:rRNA from 1 species